AAAAAAAACCCUUUUAUCAGCCAUAGGUUAAUGCAAGUGUUUAACAGAUGCUUCGCUAUUAAAAUAUUUCCCCCCAAUACUGAAGAAUCUUAAACCAGAGAUUGCGAAGAUUUUCAAAGUGGGGCACCUCGAUUUCUCGAAUCUGUGGUGUGGCGAAUAUCCGUGUUCCUCCUGCUUAACUAGCCUGUUUGCAUCUUUUGACACAUUUUACUUCCGUAAUUUCGGACUGCCAGAAGGCACAGUUCAUUCUCGAGCAAUUCGUCACCUCCUGGGGGUCUUCUCUUCCCGUCUACAGGAGAGUGUGACUUCAGAAAGAACUUCGGAUUGGCCAAGGCCAUUAAAGCUGGUGAGCGACUUGGAAGUCAUUUAGAAAGGAACAGACCUUCAACCUCAAGCCUUUGCGGGCACUGGGAAAGUGUCUUCCCAAUCAAUCUGGCUUGCAGGCGGCAGGACCAACUCUGACCUGGCUUAUCUUGUACCCAUCCUAAAUACACCAAACUCAAGAGGUAGCCAGGGCCGCCUCAACACCGAGGCAGGUCUGAUUCUAUUUAUUCUAAAGACAGAGUUGGAGAUGGGCUACCAUUGGUGUUGAUUGAGAUGACAAGCAGUCACCUGAGCCCAUACAGCUGGGUUCACAGAUGUGGCUAGUCUUGCUAGCCAGCUCGCACUGUGGACAUUCUAGGGAACUGACUGCAGUCCUCAUGCUUGGAGUCAAACACUUUAACCACUGCACACGUUUAUGUAAUAGGAUUGACAUAUGAGAAUCAGAGAAAUGAAUGAAAGAUUAGAGUGGGAGAAAGUGCUUGCUGCCAAGCUUGAUGACCUAAAUUGAAUACCUGGAACCUACACGACAGAAAGAGAGAGCUGACUGCUGAAAGAUGUCCUCAGAUCUUCACAUGUGCACAGUGGCACCUAUCCAACCAUGCACAUAGUAUAUUAAAAAUUAUUUUUUAAAAAA
rnacentral:lncRNA from 1 species